UACGGGGGGGGCAAGCGUUGUUCGGAAUGACUGGGCGUAAAGGGCUGGUAGGCGGCCAACUAAGUCGGAUGUGAAAUCCCCAGGCUUAACCUGGGAACUGCAUCCGAUACUGGUCGGCUUGAAUCCGGGAGAGGGAUGCAGAAUUCCAGGUGUAGCGGUGAAAUGCGUAGAUAUCUGGAGGAAUACCGGUGGCGAAGGCGGCAUCCUGGACCGGCAUUGACGCUGAACAGCGAAAGCUAGGGGAGCAAACGGG
rnacentral:rRNA from 1 species